rnacentral:lncRNA from 1 species
AAGAGAGAGAUCGCCAGGCCCCCUCCCAGUUACACUCCCUACAAGCCCACCUGACCUGAGGUGUCCCUCUGAAGAGUCCCUGAGCCUGCUUGCACCCCCUAGAGGGACUCCACAGCCAUGUCCUGGUUGCACUGAGCCUGCCUCCUGCCAGCAUUUUGGGGCUCUGUCCCUGCCCAGCUCCUGGACCCACUCCCCAGCCUAUUCCUCACCCCAGCCUGCACCGAAGUGACUCCUCAAGCUUCAGGACUCAGUGGGGCACAGUGGCAGUCACGUGCAUGCUGGGACCGAGACGGACGGGCCGCAGCUCCCCCUGCCACGCCCCCGGCCCCCAGAGGCCCGGCUGUUUGCCUCCCGGAGCCGUCUGACCCAGGUAGGGGGAGAUGGAGGUAGGCUCUCCCUCGUUGUGUCUCUGCAGUGGGUGGGAGGACUCUAAGA